rnacentral:rRNA from 1 species
AACGAACGCUGGCGGCAUGCCUAACACAUGCAAGUCGAACGAGACCUUCGGGUCUAGUGGCGCACGGGUGCGUAACGCGUGGGAACCUGCCCUUAGGUUCGGAAUAACUCCCCGAAAGGGGUGCUAAUACCGGAUAAUGUCUUCGGACCAAAGAUUUAUCGCCUUUGGAUGGGCCCGCGCCGCAUUAGCUAGUUGGUAAGGUAACGGCUUACCAAGGCAACGAUGCGUAGCCGACCUGAGAGGGUGAUCGGCCACACUGGAACUGAGACACGGUCCAGACUCCUACGGGAGGCAGCAGUAGGGAAUCUUCCGCAAUGGGCGAAAGCCUGACGGAGCAACGCCGCGUGAGUGAUGAAGGUCUUCGGAUCGUAAAACUCUGUUAUUAGGGAAGAACAAAUGUGUAAGUAACUAUGCACGUCUUGACGGUACCUAAUCAGAAAGCCACGGCUAACUACGUG